GAUCCUGGCUCAGGAUGAACGCUGGCGGCGUGCCUAACACAUGCAAGUCGAACGAAGCUUGACGGAUGAUUUCUUCGGAAUGAAACCAGAUAUGACUUAGUGGCGGACGGGUGAGUAACACGUGAGCAACCUGCCUUUCAGGAGGGGGAUAACGGCUGGAAACGGUCGCUAAUACCGCAUGAUGUGUUCGGAUGGCAUCAUCUGAACAUCAAAGAUUUAUCNCUGAAAGA
rnacentral:rRNA from 1 species